rnacentral:rRNA from 1 species
UAGGGAAUCUUCGGCAAUGGGGGGAACCCUGACCGAGCAACGCCGCGUGAGUGAAGAAGGUUUUCGGAUCGUAAAGCUCUGUUGUUAAGGAAGAACGAGUGUGAGAAUGGAAAGUUCAUACUGUGACGGUACUUAACCAGAAAGGGACGGCUAACUACGUGCCAGCAGCCGCGGUAAUACGUAGGUCCCGAGCGUUGUCCGGAUUUAUUGGGCGUAAAGCGAGCGCAGGCGGUUAGAUAAGUCUGAAGUUAAAGGCAGUGGCUCAACCAUUGUAGGCUUUGGAAACUGUUUAACUUGAGUGCAGAAGGGGAGAGUGGAAUUCCAUGUGUAGCGGUGAAAUGCGUAGAUAUAUGGAGGAACACCGGUGACGAAAGCGGCUCUCUGGUCUGUAACUGACGCUGAGGCUCGAAAGCGUGGGGAGCGAACAGG